rnacentral:lncRNA from 1 species
GGGCGUUUCAGCAUUAAACGAUUGAUUUUUAUGUUACUGUAUUCCUGACAUGUCAUGUUGUCAUUUAAGUGGUAUAUUUAACAUUGCCAUAUAAGCCAAGUCAGGAAAAUGGAAGGUAGUUCGUUUCUGUGUGUUUUGCAUUGCCGUUUUUUUUUUAUUGUACUUCAGUGUUUCUAUUGUUUCGUUGUUUUCCUCUUAUAGUUGAUAUGUGUUCCCUCGGUUUUCGUUUGUAACCCUGAUUUGUUUUCUCUCAAUCGAUUAAUGACUUUCCAACAGCGGUAUACUACUCUUGCCUUUAUUUUACAUUGAUAAUCAAAUGCUAUACUCGUGAACUGGAUUGUUGAAAUUGCAUGUAAGCAACACUUGUAAACCGAUUUUAAUCUAGAACUGAAAAUCUGAAUCUUUUUAAUUAAUUGACCAGAUAUUACAGGCUGCGC